CCUGACUGACCGAUAGUGAACCAGUACCGUGAGGGAAAGGCGAAAAGAACCCCGGCGAGGGGAGUGAAAAAGAACCUGAAACCGUGUACGUACAAGCAGUGGGAGCCUCUUAAUGGGGUGACUGCGUACCUUUUGUAUAAUGGGUCAGCGACUUAUAUUCUGUAGCAAGGUUAACCGAAUAGGGGAGCCGAAGGGAAACCGAGUCUUAACUGGGCGUUAAGUU
rnacentral:rRNA from 1 species